UACGUAGGGAGCAAGCGUUGACCGGAUUUAUUGGGCGUAAAGAGCUCGUAGGCGGCUUAGAAAGUCAGGUGUGAAACCUCCAGGCUCAACCUGGAGACGCCACUUGAUACUUCUAUGGCUUGAGUUCGGCAGGGGAACACGGAAUUCCUGGUGUAGCGGUGAAAUGCGCAGAUAUUAGGAAGAACACCGGUGGCGAAGGCGGCCCACUGGUCCGGUACUGACGCUGAGGUGCGAAAGCGUGGGGAGCAAACAGG
rnacentral:rRNA from 1 species